rnacentral:rRNA from 1 species
AGAGUUUGAUCCUGGCUCAGGACGAACGCUGGCAGCGUGCCUAACACAUGCAAGUCGAACGGACUAACGUUUAACACCGAGUGCUUUUGCGCUGGUGUUGAGACUGCGGAUAUGAGCGAGCAAAGCGAGCUCAUUACGCAUUAAACAAGUGCCGACACCAAAAUAAGAGUCAUCGGUGUUGAACGUUAGUUAGUGGCGAACGGGUGAGUAACGCGUAGACAACCUGCCUCUAAGAUGGGGACAACACCGCGAAAGUGGUGCUAAUACCGAAUGUGCUAAUCCCGGUGCAUGCUGGGAAUAGAAAAGGUGGCCUCUGAACAUGCUACCGCUUAGAGAUGGGUCUGCGUCUGAUUAGCUAGUUGGUGAGGUAAUGGCUCACCAAGGCGACGAUCAGUAGCCGGUCUGAGAGGAUGAACGGCCACACUGGGACUGAGACACGGCCCAGACUCCUACGGGAGGCAGCAGUGGGGAAUCUUCCGCAAUGGACGAAAGUCUGACGGAGCAACGCCGCGUGAGUGAAGAAGGUUUUCGGAUUGUAAAGCUCUGUCUUUUGGGACGAAUGUGCUGUAUGUAAAUAAUGUAUAGCAAUGACGGUACCGAAGGAGGAAGCCACGGCUAACUACGUGCCAGCAGCCGCGGUAAUACGUAGGUGGCAAGCGUUGUCCGGAAUUAUUGGGCGUAAAGCGCGCGCAGGCGGGGUGGUAAGUCUGUUGUUUAAGUGCGGGGCUCAACCCCGUAUCGGCAAUGGAAACUGUCAUUCUUGAGUGCAGGAGAGGAAAGUGGAAUUCCUAGUGUAGCGG